rfam:Hordeum vulgare subsp. vulgare, WGS project CAJW01000000 data, contig: morex_contig_1577546
AAGAUACUCCUUCCAUCCGAAAUUACUUGUCGUUAAAAUGAAAAAAAAAAUGUAUCUAAAACUAAAAUACGUCUAGAUACAUCCAUUUAUAUGACAAGUAAAUCCGGACGAAGGGCGUAUAUA